UACGUAGGGUGCGAGCGUUGUCCGGAUUUAUUGGGCGUAAAGAGCUCGUAGGCGGUUUGUCGCGUCUGCCGUGAAAGUCCGGGGCUCAACUCCGGAUCUGCGGUGGGUACGGGCAGACUAGAGUGAUGUAGGGGAGACUGGAAUUCCUGGUGUAGCGGUGAAAUGCGCAGAUAUCAGGAGGAACACCGAUGGCGAAGGCAGGUCUCGUGGGCAUUAACUGACGCUGAGGAGCGAAAGCUGGGGAGCGAACAGGAU
rnacentral:rRNA from 1 species